rnacentral:rRNA from 1 species
AACGAACGUUGGCGGCGCGCCUAAUACAUGCAAGUCGAGCGAGAAGACGUAGCAAGUACGUUUGUAAAGCGGCGAACGGGUGAGGGAAUACAUGGGUAACCUACCCUCGAGUGGGGAAUAACGUAGCCGAAAGGUUAGCUAAUACCGCGUACGCUUCUUGGACUUCGGUUCAGGGAGGAAAGCGAUGCCGAGGGUAUCGCGCUCUUGGAUGGGCUCAUGUCCUAUCAGCUUGUUGGUGAGGUAACGGCUUACCAAGGCUUCGACGGGUAGCUGGUCCUGAGAGGACGAUCAGCCACACUGGCACUGCGACACGGGCCAGACUCCUACGGGAGCAGCAGUAAGGAAUA